rnacentral:rRNA from 1 species
UAGGGAAUCUUCCGCAAUGGGCGAAAGCCUGACGGAGCAACGCCGCGUGAGUGAUGAAGGUCUUCGGAUCGUAAAACUCUGUUAUUAGGGAAGAACAAAUGUGUAAGUAACUAUGCACGUCUUGACGGUACCUAAUCAGAAAGCCACGGCUAACUACGUGCCAGCAGCCGCGGUAAUACGUAGGUGGCAAGCGUUAUCCGGAAUUAUUGGGCGAAAAGCGCGCGGAGGCGGUUUUUUAAGUCUGAUGUGAAAGCCCACGGCUCAACCGUGGAGGGUCAUUGGAAACUGGAAAACUUGAGUGCAGAAGAGGAAAGUGGAAUUCCAUGUGUAGCGGUGAAAUGCGCAGAGAUAUGGAGGAACACCAGUGGCGAAGGCGACUUUCUGGUCUGUAACUGACGCUGAUGUGCGAAAGCGUGGGGAUCAAACAGG